rnacentral:rRNA from 1 species
GAUGAACGCUGGCGGCGUGCUUAACACAUGCAAGUCGAACGAAGCAUUUAGAACAGAUUAUUUCGGUAUGAAGUUCUUUAUGACUGAGUGGCGGACGGGUGAGUAACGCGUGGGUAACCUGCCUUGUACGGGGGGAUAGCAGCUGGAAACGGCUGGUAAUCCCGUAUAAGCGCACGAUGUCGCAUGACAUAUGGUGAAAAACUCCGGUGGUAUAAGAUGGACCCGCGUCUGAUUAGCUAGUUGGUGAGAUAACAGCCCACCAAGGCGACGAUCAGUAGCCGACCUGAGAGGGUGGCCGGCCACAUUGGGACUGAGACACGGCCCAGACUCCUACGGGAGGCAGCAGUGGGGAAUAUUGCACAAUGGAGGAAACUCUGAUGCAGCGACGCCGCGUGAGUGAAGAAGUAAUUCGUUAUGUAAAGCUCUAUCAGCAGGGAAGAUAGUGACGGUACCUGACUAAGAAGCUCCGGCUAAAUACGUGCCAGCCGCCGCAGUAA